AACUUUCAACAAUGGAUCACUUGGCUCUCGCAUCGAUGAAGAACGCAGCGAAAUGCGAUACGUAAUGUGAAUUGCAGAAUUCAGUGAAACAUCGAAUCUUUUGAAGCACCUUUCGCCCCCUGGGAUUCCGAGGGGCACACCCGGUUUAGGUGCGUGUACAUCCUCAAACGUUUCUUGGUUCCUCAUCCGGGGAAGGCUUGGACUUUGGGGGUCUUUCAUUGCUGGUCUCUUUGCAGCCAGCUCCUCCUAUAUGGAUUAGUGGGGUCUGUUUUGCCGAUGCUUGACGUGAUAAGAUGUUUCACCGUCUUGGGUUUCGGACUGUCGCUUUAGACCCCGCUUCUAACCGGCUUGCAUUCAAGACAGAGUUUUAAACCUUGACCUCAAAUCGGGUGAGACUACCCGCUGAACUUAAGCAUAUCAAUAAGCGGAGGCU
rnacentral:misc_RNA from 1 species